rnacentral:rRNA from 1 species
AGCUCCAGUAGCGUAUAUUAAAGUUGCUGCAGUUAAAAAGCUCGUAGUUGGAUUUCUGGCAUGAUACGCCUGACCCGCAUCUUUAUGAUGUGAGUAGUCGGUGCGCGUCUGCCAUCUUAAUCAGUGAAUGUGGAUCUGCCCUUUAUUGGGAUAAGCGCAAGCGAGAGCGGCAGGAACUGGAUCGAUUACUUUGAAAAAAUGAGGGUGUUCAAAGCAUGCAAUAGUCUUGGAUCUAUUAGCAUGGAAUAAUAUCAUAGGACCUUGGUUCUAUUUUGUUGGUUUAUCGAAUUGAUGUAAUGAUUGAUAGGGAUAGUUGGGGGUGCUAGU